CACGCCGUAAACGAUGAGUACUAAGUGUCGGAACAAUUCGGUGCUGCAGUUAACGCAUUAAGUACUCCGCCUGAGUAGUACGUGCGCAAGCAUAAAACUCAAAGGAAUUGGCGGGACCUCGCACAAGCGGUGGAUCAUGUUGUUUAAUUCGACGAUACGCGAAGAACCUUACCAGGCCUUGACAUACCGAGCGAAGCUAUGGAAACAUAGUGGAGGUUAACUGGGAUACAGGUGG
rnacentral:rRNA from 1 species